rnacentral:lncRNA from 1 species
GGGGUCUUUAGCAAUUAAGGUCUUAAUUAACUAACACUUGUUUAUGAUUUGUGUUUACAGAUUCAAAGAUAAUAAGAAGGAGAGGAAAUUUUGAAAUUAUGUUCAAACCCUGUUGUAUGCAACCGAGCUGCUGAAGAGCUUGCCGAUGUAGAGAACCUGAAGAUUCAAUUGUUACAUUUCAGUUCCACUAUAAUUCUCAUUAUCUCCAUCGGUCUUGUGAAAGUAUUUGUCCUUGAAAUCAAUUUAAAAGUCAUAUUCUUCUUUUAUUUAAGGUUUUUCUGCAAAAAAAGCCCUCAAUGCGAAAGUUUUUUGCAACUUUAUCCAUAAGUUUAAAAACCCAGUCAAACCAUCAAUUGUUG